UUGCGACAAUCGCUUGACGUUUUCACCUCUCGGACGCGCGAGAGAGGAAGCGAAAGAUGGCGACGCUUCUCGUCUAGUCGGCGGUGGACGGCUGCGACAACUGGCUGUUCGGGCUGCGACCUGGCUCACGUGAAAGGGAGGGUUGCCGAGUAAUUCCCACCAUUUCCCUCGAUCUUCCUUGGCAGCGGCAAGAUGGAACUCCCGUGGUCACGAAUGUCUCUUGAUUUCAGAUAUACUCUUUCUUGUUUCUCUGUUUUGUUUUCCCCUUUUUUUAUAAGUUUCUUCUCUGUCAUAUGCUUGUGGAAACUAAAAUGGCUGGUUUAAUACGAUUUCAACUUAGGUUUUUUAUUCAGGCUCCAAGUUAGGUUUCUACUAGUUUAUUCAUUUUUAUUAACAAUGGCUGGUUUAAUACGAUUUCAACUUAGGUAUUUUAGUUUCUUCUCUGUCAUCUGCUUGUGGAAACUAAAAUCGUUGAAUUUAAAGCAUGUAGGUCCUUAGAUUUUAAAACUUUCCGCAAACUCAGGGUAUAUUGUUCAUGCUUCAGGGUAAUCUGUUCAAUUUUUCUGAAUGAUCUGUUUCCAUAUCUAUUUCUGAUUUAUAAAUGAUUUCCUUCUAUUUAGUCUUUUUUUUUUUGUUUUAUCCGCCAACUCAUUUGAUUUUUGAAUGCUAAAACAGUAAUUAGCCUUUUGCAAAUUCGAGUCAGGUAUAAUUUCUAUCAUCCCAAAAAUUCUUUUUUUAAUGCUAACAUUUUACCCGUAACAUGGUUAAGUUUUAUGCUAUAAGAUUUAUUAUGAUUUAUUUAUCCACAACUCCACAAUAACGAAGAGCAUGUAUGCCAAAUCCAUGCAAAUACAUUUCAAAGUCACCACUUUAUUUUUGCUACAAGUUGCAGUUCUAGCGCAGCAGGAAACUUCAUUUUGCAUAAAACUAUUUAAGAAGAAAGAAAUCAUUUUUAGGGAAUAUAACGUUCUUUAUCAUUGUCUGUGAGCUCCUGGCUAAACAAUGAAAAUACAUUGAAACUUAUUAUUUUUCUCCUUUCUUUGAAUGAUGGAUUUAAAGUGGACAUCAACUAAUGAAAAUACAUUAAUCAUAUUUCUCUCUUUUUACAUCAUGUGUAGUGAAAGAUUGGAUAUCUUCAUUGAAACUCUUUGUUUGAGGUUUGUUAGGUUAACUUAAUCAUCAUGAUAUUGAAUGGGUAGGUAUAAAAGUUAUGUUCUAGUAUUGUUAUUUAGUUGGAAGAAUAGAUUGCUUUGACCAAUCAAUAAUAUAAUUUACUUCACAAAACAUUAUUUUUGUCUGUUUUGAUGACUUACUUCAUAUCAUUCAUUAUUUUAAAAUCUAAUUGCUUAGUCAAAAUAAAAGUUUUGACAGUGUCACAAGAGAAGAAGAAGAAAAUUUAAGACAGCUCAAAUCUUGUGGAAGUUAUUUUUCUCCAGAAUCAGAAGCAAUUUUCUGGCAUUUUCAGUGCUCGAGUUAUCCAUGUCCAAGGAGCAACAAGAAUGUAAGUCUUUGCAGAACUGUGCUUUAUUGAUGAAGAUAGAGAAGAUCACUCUUUAUUUGAAGAACAAUGACAUCAUUGGGGAGAACAAGAGGGUUAGAGUGAUAGCACUCUUCCUCAGUCAAGAGAACCAAGUACUCCAGUUUCAUACUCAAGACAUGAAGAAAUCCAACAUAUGCAUAUUUCUGAUUUAUGGUUAGGCUAGCAUAUAUGUCUGUAGGUGUGUAUACUACAAUAAUUUAAGAGGAUGAAUAGGAAAAGGAUUUAUUCUUGUAAAUUCUAUUGAUCAUAUAUGCUUGCUCUGUUCCCAUUAUUUUC